rnacentral:rRNA from 1 species
GAACGCUGGCGGCGUGCUUAACACAUGCAAGUCGAACGGAAAGGCCCUGCUUUUGUGGGGUGCUCGAGUGGCGAACGGGUGAGUAACACGUGAGUAACCUGCCCUUGACUUUGGGAUAACUUCAGGAAACUGGGGCUAAUACCGGAUAGGAGCUCCUGCUGCAUGGUGGGGGUUGGAAAGUUUCGGCGGUUGGGGAUGGACUCGCGGCUUAUCAGCUUGUUGGUGGGGUAGUGGCUUACCAAGGCUUUGACGGGUAGCCGGCCUGAGAGGGUGACCGGCCACAUUGGGACUGAGAGACGGCCCAGACUCCUACGGGAGGCAGCAGUGGGGAAUAUUGCACAAUGGGCGGAAGCCUGAUGCAGCAACGCCGCGUGCGGGAUGACGGCCUUCGGGUUGUAAACCGCUUUCGCCUGUGACGAAGCGGGAGUGACGGUAAUGGGUAAAGAAGCACCGGCUAACUACGUG